UCUUUCUCCACCAGUGGAUAAUUACAGACAAAUAGGAGAUGCUAAUUAGAGCUUGUGAACCUGGUUCUCAUCUGUGGAUCAUUCCCCUUGUACUGCUGAGGGCACUGGAUGAAGGGAAUCUUGAUGCAUUUCUUGUCCAGCAAUAUAACUGGGAAAAAAAAAAGCUCUACUUUGCAAAACCAAUAGUUUGUCUGGUCCAUCAGUGAGUCCAACAGUGUCAAGAAGAGGGUAGCCACGAAGAAUGUGAAUUCUUUGUAUCCAUAUGUGUUGGACAUAAUUGGCAGAAUGACUGAAGUCAUAAGAAAAGGCACAACACCCGGAAGGACUCUGACCAGUGGAGGAACGCAUGCCAGAGCUGUGAAUUAAGAAUUCAGGAGCAGCAGAAGGAAUCUGGUACACCAGCUGUUUGCAACAGAUCACUGCUGGUUGAAUAUUGUAUGUGCACAAGCAGUGCUGAAAGAAAAUUCCGGGUGUAUUUGGAAUAAAUGGAACAAUCUGUUGACUCCUCAAGUUGAAGCUCUCCCUGGAAAUGAAGAAGGGUUAAAAUUCCUGACUGUAGUAAGUAGUGAUGUAGCAGCAUAUGACAUCCUAUGGAGUUUUGCAGGACUUCGUAACAUUUCGUUUUUCUUAAAGAUAAUAAGUCUCGUGAGAUUUACAAAAUUCUUGCAAUGGGACAUUGAGCUGCUGCUGUGAAAAUAAAAGAACUGAAGGUAUCAAAAGGCAGGUGGCUUCCAGUGGGUUUAGUAUUUGAUAUCAAAUGCAGUUCUAAUAAAUUCUGAUGAGCGACUUGGGAACUGUCAGAUUGUGGAAGAUGAAUAUCUGAUACUCUGAAUAAAAGAACACAAGAACUUCAUUUUGCUGUUUUCUGAAAUAUGGGUACUAGCAGAUUGUCCACAAGCUACUGCUAUAACCACAGAGACACAUCUCGUAAAAGUCAGCUGGGAUCAAACUAAAAUGAGAAGCAGUGGUGGAGAUGCUUCCAUAUCACAUCUUCUGCUUCCAGUACAGAACUUGUCAGGUACAAAUACAGUGUACAAUGAAGGUGGAAAUGCAGCCUUUUGCUGGUUUAAAGUAAUCAUCAAAACUAAGUGCUAUUCUACACUAAGACUUAAUACAUUUGAAUCUGGGUACUGCUGCCUCUUUAGCAAUUCUGUUUCUGGUGGCUUCUCGGUGUUUGAUUUCGUGCACAGUUUGAUAUCAGUUCCAUUAUACCAAAGAACAUUAAUUAUUAGUUUUAAAAAUAGUUUUCAGACUAAAACUUGUGAUGCUAGUGAACCAGCUCCUUCAUGGAGAAGGGUAUUUUUACUUCAGGGAAAUAGUUGUUGCUUACUAGGGAAUAAUGUUUUAUAAAAAUUAUUGUCAUGCCAUUUGUUCGAGCGUCUCGGCUGAACAAUGAUCACUGUGCUUGAUGCUGUGGAUGGGCUCCUAUAAGGUUGUAUUCUCAGUGAUAUAAUUCUUCUUUUACGCAGUGGCCAUUUCAAGCAUUUUAAAAUGCAUCAAUGAACUAUACUGAGUGGUAAUUUCAUGUGUUAUCUCAAACACGUAUUGGCUUGAAAGCUAUUAUUGCUGCCCCUUCGUGGUGCAUUCUGCUCAUAUGAAUGCUCUUUCAGCACUUCGUUACAAAUUCUGCUAACUUGUUUGAUAAAAGUAUAUUUAAAGUAAUUUAAGCUGUGUUGCCUAGCUCUGACUUUGUGCCCCAGUGACUGGGGUAUGCAUAAGAAAGCCUUUCUUAAGUAGGAACUACUGCUUCCCACAGAGGAUGGAGAGGACCAAGAAUGUGCUAGGUUCGAUUAAGAACAUUUGCAAAUCCUAUUAUUUCCACUUGAGAGUCUAUCAUCUCCUUUAAUACAGAAGUAUUUAGUCUCAUUUAAGCGUGUUU